UUGAACUGGGGGGGGGCGUCUUAACACAUGCAAGUCGAACGGGAUCCCUGGCAGCUUGCUGCCGGGGUGAGAGUGGCGAACGGGUGAGUAAUGCGUGACCGACCUGCCCCAUGCACCGGAAUAGCUCCUGGAAACGGGUGGUAAUGCCGGAUGUUCCACAUGAGCGCAUGCGAGUGUGGGAAAGGCUUUUUGCGGCAUGGGAUGGGGUCGCGUCCUAUCAGCUUGUUGGUGGGGUAACGGCCUACCAAGGCGUUGACGGGUAGCCGGCCUGAGAGGGCGACCGGCCACAUUGGGACUGAGAUACGGCCCAGACUCCUACGGGAGGCAGCAGUGGGGAAUAUUGCACAAUGGGCGCAAGCCUGAUGCAGCGACGCCGCGUGCGGGAUGGAGGCCUUCGGGUUGUAAACCGCUUUUGUUCAAGGGCAAGGCACGGUCUUUGGCCGUGUUGAGUGGAUUGUUCGAAUAAGCACCGGCUAACUACGUGCCAGCAGCCGCGGUAAUACGUAGGGUGCAAGCGUUAUCCGGAUUUAUUGGGCGUAAAGGGCUCGUAGGCGGUUCGUCGCGUCCGGUGUGAAAGUCCAUCGCUUAACGGUGGAUCCGCGCCGGGUACGGGCGGGCUUGAGUGCGGUAGGGGAGACUGGAAUUGCCCGGUGUAACGGUGGAAUGUGUAGAUAUCGGGAAGAACACCAAUGGCGAAGGCAGGUCUUCUGGGCCGUUACUGACGCUGAGGAGCGAAAGCGUGGAGCG
rnacentral:rRNA from 1 species